rnacentral:rRNA from 1 species
UUACGGGAGGCAGCAGUGGGGAAUCUUGCACAAUGGGGGAAACCCUGAUGCAGCGACGCCGCGUGAGCGAUGAAGCCCUUCGGGGUGUAAAGCUCUUUCGGCAGGGACGAUAAUGACGGUACCUGAAGAAGAAGCUGCGGCUAACUACGUGCCAGCAGCCGCGGUAAUACGUAGGCAGCGAGCGUUGUUCGGAGUUACUGGGCGUAAAGCGUGCGUAGGCGGUGGUCCAAGUCUGGUGUGAAAUCUCCCGGCUCAACUGGGAGGGUGCGCUAGAAACUGGGCUGCUGGAGUGUGGGAGAGGUAAGCGGAAUUCCUGGUGUAGCGGUGAAAUGCGUAGAUAUCAGGAGGAACACCUGCGGUGUAGACGGCUUACUGGACCACUACUGACGCUGAGGCACGAAAGCGUGGGGAGCAAACAGGAUUAGAUACCCCUGUAGUCCA